rnacentral:lncRNA from 1 species
ACUAUUUCUCUAAAAAAACGCGUCGAUGUUGAGAAGACGAUGAAGCUAGUAACCUCUUAAAAAAACUAUAAAAUAAAAAACAACAUAUAUAACACUAGGAAAUGACACAUGCCACUCCUAAAUAUUGAGAAGAUGAAGCUAGUGACCUCUUAACAAGUCGAUGACGGCGUAGAAAUGAUGAAAUGAAUCAAUAGCCGGAGAUGAGAGCAAGAACAAGCAACUGCAAAUUAAGAACACAGCAAAACAGUGA